rnacentral:rRNA from 1 species
GAUCAUGGCUCAGGAUGAACGCUAGCUACAGGCUUAACACAUGCAAGUCGAGGGGCAGCAUGGUCUUAGCUUGCUAAGGCCGAUGGCGAUCGGCGCACGGGUGAGUAACGCGUAUCCAACCUGCCUUACACUCUUGGACAGCCUUCUGAAAGGGAGAUUAAUACAAGAUGUUACCAUGAGUAAGCAUUUUCGCAUGAUUAAAGGUUUACCGGUGUAAGAUGGGGAUGCG